rnacentral:rRNA from 1 species
AUUGAACGCUGGCGGCAGGCUUAACACAUGCAAGUCGAGCGAGCGGCGGACGGGUGAGUAAUGUCUGGGAACCUGCCUGAUGGUGGGGGAUAACUACUGGAACCGGUAGCUAAUACCGCAUACCAUCGGAUGUGCCCAGAGGGGAUUAGCGAGUAGGUGGGGUAAUGGCUCACCUAGGCGACGAUCCCUAGCUGGUCUGAGAGGAUGACCAGCCGAACUGGAACAUAGACACGGACCAGAGUCCUACGGUAGGCAGCAGGGGGGAAGAGGGCACAAUGGGCGCAAGCCUGAUGCAGCCAUGCAGCGUGUGUGAAGAAGGCCUUAGGGUUGUAGAGCACUUUCAGCGAGGAGGCGUUACGCGCAGAAGAAGCACCGGCUAACUCCGUGCCAGCAGCCGCGGUAAUAC